UCUCCAACCGUCGUCGGGGGAGGAUGCGCGCCCCUCUCUCCAGUCUGAUCAGUCGCAGCCUCACUCGUACUCAACACCUGGUGACUGACUGAACCCCACCAGGCGCCUUGACUCUUAGGGCUCCCUUGACAGUGACGAAGAAACACGAAUGAAAAUAACAAGGGAAAAUAAGUGAUACGUGAAUUCUAAUGGUGAUGAUAAUAAUGACAAUCGUGACAGACAGCGGGAAGUGACAAGUACAUUCGGAGAUUAAGUACAACGUUGCAGUAAGGUAGAGGUUCAAAACAAAACGUGCCAUAUUCCUACACUCAAAACUGAAGGCUGGAAGGAGGAAAAGAACGCAGGAAAUAUUUAUCUUACACACCUGACUGAGUGAGACACAAGAGCAACUGACUCAGACCUGCACAAGACACAUUAUUCUUACGACACACCUGAGGCGGAUCAUUGUAAAGCUACCUGGAGUGUGAAACUCGUGCAGUAAAAGGAAAGAAAAAGGGAAGAGGAGAAAAGAAAAGCAUGGGAAAAAACAGUGAAAAGGUUUAUGGGAGCAAUUACCUUUAAAAAAUUUCUUACUUACGAAUAAAAAAAGAUAUUUGUGAAAAGUUUACGCGCAAAAAAAAGGUGAAAUUUCAAACUCAUACCACUUCUUGCUUAUAGAAAGUAAGAGAUAAAAAAUAUAUAUAUACAUAAAAACAACAAAA
rnacentral:lncRNA from 1 species